rnacentral:rRNA from 1 species
GAUGAACGCUGGCGGCGUGCUUAACACAUGCAAGUCGAACGGAAAGGCCCAAGCUUGCUUGGGUGCUCGAGUGGCGAACGGGUGAGUAACACGUGGGUGAUCUGCCCUGCACUUCGGGAUAAGCCUGGGAAACUGGGUCUAAUACCGGAUAGGACCACAUUUUGGAUGGUGUGGUGGAAAGUUUUGGGGUGUGGGAUGAGCUCGCGGCCUAUCAGCUUGUUGGUGGGGUAAUGGCCUACCAAGGCGUCGACGGGUAGUCGGCCUGAGAGGGUGUACGGCCACCUUGGCACUGAGGUACGGCCCAGACUCCUACGGGAGGCAGCAGUGGGGAAUAUUGCACAAUGGGCGCAAGCCGGAUGCAGCGACGCCGCGUGGGGGAUGACGGCCUUCGGGUUGUAAACGCCUUUCGCUAGGGACGAAGCGUUAUGUGACGGUACCUGGAGAAGAAGCACCGGCUAACUACGUG